UUUAGCUUUAAAGAGUUAAGUUUUUCCUCCCUGAGGUGCUCUCUUAACAUCUCCCUAUGGAGCCUCUCCUGUUCCAUAGCAAAUUCACCAAGAGUGUAUUGGCGAACACUGUUAUGGCGACUGGACAUGCCCAACGUGCUUCCUCCUUGACUGGGAACACUGGUGAAACCUUGUCUCCUUGUGAAGUAGUAUACGGUAACACAGCUAAAAUGAACAUUCUUUGUUCUCAACCGCUUCUCUCGUUUCAGGAUCGAGGAUGCUGAAAUAGAAGGAAAAAACUUGAUGAAAACUCAGAAUGACAAAUAUGACUUAAAGGGGAAAAAUGAGCAUAUGUUUGAUACAUUUCCCCCCCCCCUUCAUUUUCAAGAGGAUGCUAGCAAUGGCAUAUCUGGGAUGGGGCUGACAGAAUAGGCAGAAGUUGAUGAAACCAAAGGCAACAUGGUACCAUGGAAAGGGAGCUGGAUUUGGAUUUGGAAGACCUGAGCUACUUCUGUCACUUAUGAGCUAUGUGACCCAGCUCUGAACCAUA